rnacentral:rRNA from 1 species
UUUAAAUGUAAAUUAAAAUACUAAAUUAGUAGUAGAUAAGAUCUUUAAAUUUAAAGAUUUUGGCGGUAUUUUAGUCUAUUCAGAGGAACCUGUUCUAUAAUUGAUAGUCCACGAUAGAAUUUACUUAAUUUAAUAAUUUGUAUAUCGUCGUUUAUAAAUAAUUUUAAAAGAAUUAUAAUUUUUAAGAUUUUUAAUUAAAAAAUAUAUCAGAUCAAGGUGCAGUUUAUAUUUAAGUAGAAAUGGGUUACAAUAAAUUUAUUUAAAUGGAUGUAUAUAUUUAUUUAUAUAUUGAAGGUGGAUUUGAUUGUAAUAAUAUUAAAUUAGAUUUUAUGAUUUUAGCUCUAAAAUAUGU